rnacentral:pre_miRNA from 1 species
GCGCUUAGCAAAUUCACAGGCCCUAUCUUGUGGUAUGAACUGAGUACGCAAUGAUUUGCACUGCGUAUUGGGGGCUUACCAUAAGAUAAUGCCGUGAAUUCGCUAAGUGU